CGGCCACAUCUUGUUGAAACACCAGUUCCUAUACAACCACCGAAGUUAAGUAACAUCAAGCUUGGUCAGUACCUAGAUGGGUGACCACUUGGGAAUACCAGC